GGGAAUGUGGCUUAGUGGUAGAGUGUCUGCCUAGUAUGCAUGAAGCCCUGGGUUCAAUUCCUCAGUACCA
rnacentral:tRNA from 1 species